GCACGUAUGCAUAUGUAACUUCCUACUUCUUCUCUACCAAGGCCACUACGAUAAAGUAUAAUACAAAUUUGUAUCAAAUUUUAAUAUGUAUCACAAUCUUCUAUUUAUGUACAAUUGUACGUACAUACGCACAAAGAGCAGUCAGACGAAAAAUAUUUCCUGGCUAAAAUUCCAUCAGAAAUCCAAUAUAUAAAGCCAACUGUGCAACAGAUUUUUAACAAGAACCAAAAUUCCAACACUAAUUUCUGCUUUGAAGUAACAUUUAAACUUUAGCAGAAUGUUUCCCAAAAAUUGUGCACUUUUGGCACUAAUUUAUCUAAUCCUCGUGAUAAAUCUGAUCCACGUGUCGAAUGGGAGUCCAAACCCGAUCGUGUGGACGGAUACGAAUAAUUUUGAGCCUGCGAUUAUACCAAGAGUCUCAGGAUUCAACUUAUCCAAUGUUGACAUAAAUUUUGCCUCGUGGGCACAACUCUUAAGCCUUGGACGAUAAGUUGCAAAGUUAGAUAUAAAAUAUUCACUAAAUAGAUAAAUAAGCUUGUUCAAAUAAACUCUUGUAAAAACGGAAUAUAAAAAAGUGGCGAAACCAAAUAUGUUUUUUUUUGUAAUCCACCAUUGAAUAGAGUCUAAAAUACAUAUGUAAUGAAUACAACCGAAAGAAACAUUACUGAUUCGGAAUAAAAA